AAUCUUCCUGAUCUUGCAAGGCCACAGACGAAGGUCCCCUUCUCAGCAAAGCUUCCCUGAAACACUCCUGGCAGGGACCUGCUCUCCUCUGCAGACCCACGACACCUGCCUCAACCUUUCUCCAGGUGUGUACCACUUUACGUCGUGUUCACAGGUAAGCUUCGCCUUCCCUUCCCUAGUAGACUUUAUAAGCUACCUGAGGACAGAUUCUGUGUCUGAUUGUUGUAUCCUCUUUUGCCUUGAACAUAAUAGCUGCUUGCUAAACCGGAGUAAAUGAAAAAAUGGCUAUAAUGCAGUGGACUGUGUGUGACAUCAUGAUCUGGACUAUUUCCACCCACCUCCUCCUUUCACUUCUUAAAGGGCUCUUAUCCCCCCUGCCGCACAAAGGUGCUGCUUCACCCCCAGCUGAUGAGUUAUGUGCUGGAUGGCUCCCCUCUCCACCUUCCCAAUCCUAAGUGACGCAUGGAGGUUAAUGCUACCCAGACAGCACCUUUUGAGCAGUAUAAUGUCCCCCAAAAUCCAUUUCUGUUAUUUUUCAAUCAAUAAAAAUAGAGAUCCCUUUAUGAGAUCUUUGCUUCGGGUUCUGGAAUCCAUCCUUGAGCUGUAGGCAAGAGACCUCCUCUUCCAAGAUUACUUGAUCCUUUCUUCUAUACAAAUUAAAGUCUAUCCCGGUCUAGCAGAUCUCUAGAACUGGCUGUUCCUUCUAAAUGCACCCUACGCUGUCUUCUUGUAACAAUUAGUUUUUGCUUUGGCUACAAGUGACAGAAACCCAAAAUAUUAUUGGCUUAAAGAAGACGGAAAGUUAUUUCUCUAACUCAUAGAAGAAGUCUGGAGGAGAUAGUGCAAGGGUGAUAGGGGACAUUCCUAAGGUCAUCAGGGACCCAGGAUCCUUCUAUCUGGUCUACUCUUCUCAGAGCCUGGCUCCUACCUCAUGGUUCAAGAUGACUGCUGAGCUCCAGCUUUCAUGCCAGCAGCCCCCCAGAAGAAACAAGGAAGUAGUGAGGAAGGACAUACCUCUUCCCUUUAAAGACACUUCCUGAAACUUGCCCACAACACUUCCCCUAAAUUCCACUGGCCACAAGGGAGAUUCAUAAAUGUCAUCUUUCUUCUGCUUAGGUUAUAAAUCCUAAAAGUCAGGAUUCUGUUUCCACGGAAGAAGGAGAUAGUGGCCACUGGGGCCCACUAGCACCGUCAGCUUUGGUUUCUGCCCUGAAUGUUUACUCUUCCUGUUUUCUCAUUGCUCAGUGCUCAGGGUUGGCAGAGUCUCUACAGCCACCUUUGCUGCUCAUAAACCAGGAGUUUAAAUGGGGCUAGGGGAACCCAAGGUAUAGCAGGUCAGGUGACUUUCUCAAAACAUAGGGCAAAUUAAAGCCAAGACGGGAGUGACACUCAGCCAUCCUGACCCCAGUCCCACAAGAUUCACCUCCUUAGGAGGCUCAGCAGGGUCUGAGUCAGGAGCAGAGGCCGUCACUGCACAAAGCAACGGGUGCCGAUGACUGCCAGGAUUGAGAGAGGCGUGGGAGUCCUGGGCAAAAGCAAGCUCUGGAAGGCGUAGAUAAGAAACCUGGGCCCGGGACCUUGGGCUCCAGUGUGCUCAUGCCAGGUGCAGCACAUGGACCACAGCAGCCCUCCCUGGCACUGUCUUCCCCCUUGGCACACCACCCUCCUCUCAGGGCAAGAACUGCAGCAUCUGGACCAGCCAACUACCCUCACAGGGCAGGGCAGUCUCCCAGACCUGGCAGGUAGCUUGUGACCAUGAGGCAAACCACACAGCUGCACCCAUUCUUGGGGGCCCUGAGUUUCCAAGCAAAUGAAUCCCUGCCUGGGCUGGUGGCUACAUGCAGACUUUCCUCUUAUCAGCCUGAAUGUGGUCCGGGCCCUCCAGCUCUGACGCUAUCGACCUGAGUGGGACCUGCCCUCCCACUGAUGUUUCCCCCUCCGCGGGGCCUCAGGAAAGGUAUUUGGGCUGGCAGUUUGCCUGCCUCCUCUCCCCUGGUGCCAGGUCCUCUGAACAUCCCACAGACUGUGGGGGUGAUGGCUCCAGUUUUGAAACACCUUGCACACACAGAGUUGGAGUAUCCUGGGGAAGCUGCGAUGUGCCAGGUACGGGACUCUCUUGGGCUGGAAGGUAGGGUGCCAGGGUUCUAUUCAGGGGUAAGUGGACCCACAAGGGAAGAAAGCCACUGUCUUGCCUGAGGUACCUUUCUGGGGGAACAGGGUGGUACCUGUUCAAACAGGGCACAUGGAAACUCUUUAUGUAUCCAUCCUUGGAAAUGUAUUCUCCCCUCCAUGAGUGGAAUGACCAUCUCCUGUCUUCAGACAAGUAAGUUAUUCUUAUUCCCCUUUCAAAGGUGAGACUACUGAGGUCCACCCUUUAGGAUGGGGUAGAAUUUCCCAUUCAAUCUAUAUGUUCGUGCACAGGCCCUCCCCCUCUCUAGAGGGGGAGCUGGGCACCGUCGAGUUCGGCCCUAGUGCUGGAUCUGCAGUGUUGGCUUUUCCCUUUUUUUCUUGAAAAGCCCGGGGUUGGAAAGCUAACCCUUAGGGACAGAAGCUUGUUUAUUAUCAAACAGGGCUCCUUUCCUCCUCCCACUCCUAGUCCACCCCUCUCUCUCCUCUCCCUCCUCCCCCUCCCCUUCCCCCCUUCUUUUUCCUCUUCCUCUUCAUGUAAAUAUUGUCCUUUUUAAAAAUGAAAUCUUCACGUAUAAGCCUAAAGUCUCCUCUGAUCCCCUGCCUGUGUCCUGUUCUUCACUCUUCUCCCCAAAGGAAACGCCCCUGCCAGUUUGGGGCACGUCCUCCUGGCCCCCGGGUGCACGUCAAGUCCUCUUUCCCCUACAAAGCGUCAGGUUUGAUGGGGCCCUUUCUGCACGUACAGAUACAGACAGUUUUUUCCUCUUCUUUCUCUCCUCGAAGAAUCCUCCAAGAACAGGUUCACUGCGACCCUUUCCCACUGGACUUUAACUGAGUUCUCUCUUACAGUAUCCUCUUCAUACCCCAAACUAGGGGGGAUGCGGGGAGGCCGCCCGGCGAGGAGAGUAAGCGGGAAUUCUCCGGGUGGCUGAGGAGGAGGCCUUUUCCAGCGUGUGGUAGAGAACCACAGAGGCCUGAGCUUCUGCGAAAUAAUAUUCAGGGAGCAGACCUCGUGGGAAUCUUCCCAGCCUGCUUUGCAGAACGUCAUCCCAAGCUGGAAGACCGCUGUGGGACCCUUCUCUCCAAACAGGCAAAACCAGAGAAGCAGACCUGCCUGAGGGCAUCCUGACUCCUGUGCCAGGAAAGACCUUGCCAGGACUCCACAGAGAAACAGCCUGCUGUGGAAUGUGUGCACUGCUGUUGCCCCUGAGUCCUUGAUGCCUUGCACAGGAGCAAAGGAAGUUGUGGUAGAUCAUGAAGAUCCACGUAAGAAACUCAACCGGUCCAUCCGGAGGCAAAAGGUAAAGCUCUGUGGAGGGUCGGCUAACCUUUACCAAUAUUCGUCAUGACAACAGCAGGAGGUGGAGCAAAAUCAUUUUGACAUUUGACAUUUAAUUAUUUUUCUUCCAAAAGUGACUUGGCCUCUCAAAAUCUGUCUCCACACUUAGAUCUUUCAGAAAUCCUUCCCAGAAUCCUCCAGUGCAACUCAUAAGGCUUCCUUCGAUCUCGUCCCUCUUCAGCAGCCGUGAGUCCCGCUGCCCUCGAAGGGGUGUUUUUGCUGAUACGUUUGCUGCAAAAGUUCUUGAGACCUUUUCAUGGUCUGUGUUCAGUCUUCUCCACAGGCAAAGGUCUACGUCCUCUCCUCACUCUGGGUCCCCACUGGGUCUGUACUAAGUUCAUGAACACUGCCAGACAGCUGUAGAAGGGAAAGCUCUGCUGGGGCUCGGGAAUACUGGGUUCUAGUCCCAGCUCUGCCACUAACUAGCCUGCUGCCCUUGGGUGAGCCGCUUCCCCACUUCGCGCUUCAAUAAGUGAAUGCGUUGGAUUCGAUUAAUACAUCCCAAGACAGGUUCCAAAGGACAGUUCCGUGGGAGGUUAAUGAUUGUUAUAAGAAAAAAGGCAGCCUGGUUAAAUACAUUUCAGAAACACUGGGUUAAGUGGGUCCAUGAUGCAGGAAGUCUCAGAGCCUUUAAUGGGCAGCAUGAGUCUCCACUCGGCAAACGGCUUGUAUGGAACCCUUUUUCCAAAGGCAUCUCGUGAGUUCUGCCAAACUCACUUGGCCAGAGGCUGGGCAGGAUGAGCUCCAAGAUCCCUCCAGAACGAACAGGUGUGAACAGUGGACUCUGCACUGCGUCAGACUCGGGUGACUUGGGUUCAAAAUGCUUCGACUUACGAGUUGUGUGACUGUACUGGACACAUCACCCCACCUGUUGGAGCCUCAGUUUCCUCAAACGCACCUCAUAGGGUUGCGGCGAAGGUCAUGAACAGCACCUAACUCAGGCCUUAAAUGAAAUAAUAGCUUAAAUUCUGUUAGAACUUGGCUUCCUCGCUAUCUGGCGUUUGAUGUCUUAUUUCGCACCCAGGUCUUCAUCAACAGCUCCACUGGAUGUCCUUCUGAAAUAGUUCUGUGCACCAGCCCCUCACCUAUAUACCUUUGAAGAAGAGUUCUGAUAUGGCCCUGGCCACUGACUCACCCCGCCCCAGGCUUUCGGCUCCCUUUCCUUCACCCAUUCUCUAGCUCAGGGAGAUGUUAGAGUCAGACCUGGCAUUUAACACAGCCAGGGACGUGACUUAACUACGGGCUUGACAAGUGGUGUGCCAAGGCCCUGAAACUCUCCUCCCCGAGGCAGGGCCGCGGAAAGUUUGCCGGGAUGGCUGGUCAGCUGAUGAAUGGUUUGAGGCAGCGAGCAGCAUGGAUUGCCGCCAACACCCGUACCGCCCACUCAGGCCUCAGGAAUGUUAUCGCCCUUCCUCACCGGAAGGCAGGUGUUUGUCCAGGCUGACCCAGGGUCAGGCCUCCCUGGGCCAAAGCGGCCGGUCUUCUCCCUGGGCUGCGCCUACAUGUUUUGACCUAGGCAGGGUCAGGGGUCACCGGAGAAAAAGCUCAGAGGUUGGUGAUGGGGAUAGAGGGUGGAUUUCCAGUGUGUUUGCAUUCAGUGAGGAGCCAGGAAAAUUUCCUUCGAUUAACAGGCAUGGUUGCUGGGAACCAAUACCUUAGCCACUUAGGAUUGUAAGUUGUGGUUCUGAACUCGAGGAUUUCGAUGCUUUCAUCAUGAAACAGCGAGUAAUGCCAGGCGCUAUUCAAAGAGUCUUACACAUAUUAAGUUCUUUAAUCCUCACUGUUCUAUGAGGUAUCUUUUAUGAUUUUCCUUCUUUGCAUAUGCACAGAGAGGUUAAGUAACUUGCUUAAAUUUCCACAGCUAUUUAGUGGGGACUGGGGUGCGUGUAGGCAGUCUGGUUCUAGAACCUAUGAUCCUGUUCAAUUCACCAGGCUGCCUCUGUAAAGUUAGUCAGGGUCUCCCGCCUGGAAGCCCAAAAUGGAGCUGGAACAAGCAGGUUCCUUCCAGCUAGUAUUUCACAGAGCGAGGAAGUGUGACUUCACCACAAGGACAGGCCAAGAAACUGGACAUGGGGAUCCCAGGGUCAGUACCAUGUGAAUCCCACUCAGCCUCACGCUCCUCCGAUCAUUUCCCUGCGGGACUUCCUCCAGAGCCAGGGGCUCCGCUCUCACAGCCUGGGAUUCCACGCACACACGGCUUUACUGUUCCCUCCACUCUCCCGGUCUCCCUUCCAACCCUAGAAGGUACAAAAGGGAGGAACACAAGCAAACACCUUGGAGAGGUGAGACGGCCAGGACACAUGACAUGGCUGUUUAUUUCUUCAGUAAGCGCCUCCUGCAGGACUGGCACAGCUAGGCAUUCCACUGACCCAAGUAAACUUGAUCAAUGUCCUUCCCGACAGCAGCUCCCAGACUAGUAAGAGGGAAAUUUGCAAUAAUGGGAAUACAAAAGACAGAGGAUUAAGUGUUUCAAAAGGAACAAGAAGCUCUGUAGAACUUGGGAAGAGAACAUCUGGCUGGGGUAAUCCCAGAAGGCUUCCUGGAGGAAGUAGAAUUUGAGCUUCUGCCCUCACCAAGCAGCUGUUUCAAGCUCCAGAGCCAGGCACUGAGCCCUCCUGGAACUCCCCGCAGGAUCCGUCUCGAACUUCCGGCUCCCGGCUGAGAAGCAACCCCCUUGGGCUGAGCCACCCAGAGCCCUGCCAGCCACAGUUCCCAGCCACAGCUCCGAGGGGCCUGUUAGAAUUUCCUGAAGGAACAGCUGCUUUAAAGCAGGAGGGGCAGGGGGACAGCUUUGCAAGUUAAUCCACUGGUAUUUUGCCCCUUUCUGCUCUGUGUUGCCAGGCCCAGCCCCUAGGAGACGGCCUAGCUGUGCAAUAGUGGAGAACGGACCCCGUCCUGGAGACAGGACAAUAAUGAAGUCAAUGAAGCAUAGCGGGAAUGGAGAUAAAGGCGCUUUCUUGGGCUUCCCUGCCCUGGGA